GUCCAGGAGUUAUGGAUAUCCUAUAUAAUAAAAGGUUAAUAUGCAAAUAGACCAAAUGGCGGAACAACCGGAACGACUGAACAACUGAACAGUGGGUUGCUAUGACAUGCGCUGACUACCAGGGAGCGUGUACGGAACAUGAUGGGCAUUGGAUGCGGUUGGAUGGUGGAGCAGCCAAAUGGAGAGAACACUAAGUACCUAGAGGAGAGAGGAGUGCAAGAUAAAAUGAACCCGGAUCCUGAAUGGUCCUAUGAAGCAGAACCUCCCUCCUGAGCUGGGACAUUAACUUGAGACUCUUUUCCUGCCUUUCAUUUAGAUUGGGGCCAUGUGACUAGAUCUGAAGACGGUACUAUAAGGAAAAGUAAUGUUGAUGACUUCUAAGACAAAGCAGCUUGAAGGCCACAUUUGAGAUGGAGGAGCCACAAGAUAGAUAGAAGAAGCCUGAAUCACUGAGUAACUGCAUAGAAGACUGAAGAGCUGCCCAACAACUCAUGAACUUUUAUGUAAUCAAGAAAUAAAACUUGUUUUACUUUACUAAAAGUUUGGGGUUUAUUGGGUACUGCAGCAUAGCCUAUUGUUACCCUGGCUACUAUAUAUUGUUUUGUAGGGUAUCUUACUAUCUGGUAGAAUUAGUCUCUUCUCUUUAUACUUAUUUUUUUCAAAAUUGACACAGCUCUUUCUGAUUCUUAAUACUUCCAUAUAAAUGCUAGAAUGUGUCAAUCAAGCUUUGAUAGAUUUCUUUAAAUGUUAAGGCAAUUAUACAUUCCAACAUUGA